rnacentral:misc_RNA from 1 species
GAUGAAGAACGUAGCGAAAUGCGAUACGUAAUGUGAAUUGCAGAAUUCAGUGAAUCAUCGAGUCUUUGAACGCACAUUGCGCCCCCUGGUAUUCCGGGGGGCAUGCCUGUCCGAGCGUCAUUGCUGCCCUCAAGCACGGCUUAUGUGUUGGGCCUCCGUCCUCCUCCCGGGGGACGGGCCCGAAAGGCAGCGGCGGCACCGCGUCCGGUCCUCGAGCGUAUGGGGCUUCGUCACCCGCUCUUGUAGGCCCGGCCGGCGCUUGCCGACACAUCAAUCUUUUUUCCAGGUUGACCUCGGAUCAGGUAGGGAUACCCGCUGAACUUAAGCAUAUCAAUAAGCGGAGGA